UACGUAGGGUGCACGCGUUGUCCGGAAUUAUUGGGCGUAAAGAGCUCGUAGGCGGUCUGUCGCGUCGGAUGUGAAAACUCGGGGCUCAACCCCGAGCCUGCAUUCGAUACGGGCAGACUAGAGUUCGGUAGGGGAGACUGGAAUUCCUGGUGUAGCGGUGAAAUGCGCAGAUAUCAGGAGGAACACCGGUGGCGAAGGCGGGUCUCUGGGCCGAUACUGACGCUGAGGAGCGAAAGCGUGGGGAGCGAACAGG
rnacentral:rRNA from 1 species